rnacentral:misc_RNA from 1 species
CGACAUGCGAUAAGUAAUGUGAAUUGCAGAAUUCAGUGAAUCAUCGAAUCUUUGAACGCACCUUGCGCUCCUUGGUAUUCCUUGGAGCAUGCCUGUUUGAGUAUCAUGAAAUCUUCAAAGUAAAUCUUUUGUUAACUCAAUUGGUUUCUACUUUGGUAUUGGAGGUCUUUGCAGCUUCACACCUGCUCCUCUUUGUUCAUUAGCUGGAUCUCAGUGUUAUGCUUGGUUCCACUCGGCGUGAUAAGUUAUCUAUCGCUGAGGACACUGUAAAAGGUGGCCAAGGUAAAUGCAGAUGAACCGCUUCUAAUAGUCCAUUGACUUGGACAAUACUUUUAUGAUCUGAUCUCAAAUCAGGUAGGACUACCCGCUGAACUUAA